AUUGAACGCUGGCGGCAGGCUUAACACAUGCAAGUCGAGCGGGGUGAUGGUGCUUGCACUAUCACUUAGCGGCGGACGGGUGAGUAAUGCUUAGGAAUCUGCCUAUUGGUGGGGGACAACAUCUCGAAAGGGAUGCUAAUACCGCAUACGUCCUACGGGAGAAAGCAGGGGAUCACUUGUGACCUUGCGCUAAUAGAUGAGCCUAAGUCGGAUUAGCUAGUUGGUGGGGUAAAGGCCUACCAAGGCGACGAUCUGUAGCGGGUCUGAGAGGAUGAACCGCCACACUGGGAAUGAGACACCGCCCAGACUCCUACGGGAGGAAGCAGUGGGGAAUAUUGGACAAUGGGGGGAACCCUGAUCCAGCCAUGCCGCGUGUGUGAAGAAGGCCUUAUGGUUGUAAAGCACUUUAAGCGAGGAGGAGGCUCUUUUGGUUAAUACCCAAGAUGAGUGGACGUUACUCGCAGAAUAAGCACCGGCUAACUCUGUGCCAGCCGCCGCAGUAA
rnacentral:rRNA from 1 species